AGUGAACGCUGGCGGCAGGCCUAACACAUGCAAGUCGAGCGGCAGCGCGGGGGCAACCCUGGCGGCGAGCGGCGGACGGGUGAGGAAUGCAUCGGAAUCUACCUCGUUGUGGGGGAUAACGUAGGGAAACUUACGCUAAUACCGCAUGAGACCGAGAGGUGAAAGUGGGGGACCCGCGAGGGCCUCACGCGAUGAGAUGAGCCGAUGCCGGAUUAGCUAGUUGGCGGGGUAAAGGCCCACCAAGGCGACGAUCCGUAGCUGGUCUGAGAGGAUGAUCAGCCACACUGGAACUGAGACACGGUCCAGACUCCUACGGGAGGCAGCAGUGGGGAAUAUUGGACAAUGGGCGCAAGCCUGAUCCAGCCAUGCCGCGUGUGUGAAGAAGG
rnacentral:rRNA from 1 species